rnacentral:rRNA from 1 species
AAGUAAUAUUCCAGAUUGUUAAUCUGAUUGCUAAGUAGCAAGAGAAGGAGAUUUCUUUGUCUGGAGUUUUGCACGACUAGUUUUAGGUGAUUAGUGGGUAUAGUUAUGCCUGACAAGCCUGACAUGCUUAGGAUUCCUGAGAGGGUCGCAUCCAACAGAAGUAUUGAGGUGUUCUUACUUCCCGCCAUUUUGUGGUGCUGCAGUGGUAAAAUCUAGACAAUUGGUGUAUGCCUGAUCUGGGC